rnacentral:lncRNA from 1 species
AAAAAAACCCAUGGACUGCUUUUUCAGCACCCACCAUUGGGUCGGUCGGUCUCCUGCUGAUGGCUUCUCAUUCUGAUCCUAGCUACCACUCCCCUGAAUUUCCAGUUAUAGUUGACAUCCCCCUUUCAUUGUCUGUCCAGUCUCAAAGGUUCCGACUCUCAGGUCCUAUUUGUACCCCAGAAUCUCCAUGCACAAGGAUCACAUGGAGUAAAAGGUCAAAGAUUUUAAAGCAACAACAAAAACACGCCGGCGGGAGAAAUGAGAGAGACCCGGCCAGACGGGAAACUUUUAUUAGCGGCGAUUGAAGCGAGGAAUUAUGAUGCGCGCCCGGGAUGUGGGCCGUCUAAUAAGUUGCUGGUGUGGCCGGGCGUGUUCCCCCCGAGUUGCUGAGGAAGGAAUCGGGCAUUUCUACCCAAACAAACGCCUCCAAGGUAAGUUUUCUGGAGACUGUCCUCUCUUGCAUGUGUGCGUCUCCCGUCCAUACUACAAAAGAGCGGUUGGAGAGAUCGCUUGCGAGGCGAUCCGUGCUAUGAUGUUCCUGAUUGCCUUUGUAGAGGAAGGAAAGGGAUGUCUGAGGGGGCAUUUCCUUGUGCAAAUGCAGGAAGGGCCGGCCUUAGUUGGCGUGGAGCGCCUCACCCGCUCCUCUUCUCUCCCUUCCCGUCGCAUGGAUCCUCUUGGACAUCUUCCCGUUCAGCCCCGGCUGCUGCCGACCUUUGUUUUGUCUGGCGCGCUCUCUCUUCCUUUCCCUUUGAGGAGCAGACACUCGCUUCCCCCGGUGUCUCGCUUCCCCCUUCGCCCCUUCCGAAAACAGCUCGUUUGUUUCGGGAUCCGUGAAUCUGUCGCGAGCAUGCCGUGAGAAAAACAAACCAACGCGGAGCGGGGACGUGCGGGAGUGAACGAGGAUUUCUCGGGCUCAUUAAAAUGCAAGCGUGUCUUUUAACAGCCAGGCGUUCAUCCAGUCUCGCCCCCACCCUUCCACUCCGUUUCUGGAAGAAGAAGAAAAAAAAGGAGCGGGGAGGAUACUAUAUUUCUCUCCCCCUCCCCUUAUUUCUCUCUCCCCUCCCCACGCGGGCCUUUCAUAGGGGGGCCGAAGAGAGAGAAUCCUGCCAGAUGGAAUGCAAAUAAACGCUCGGUUGCGGAGUUCUGCGGGGAAGGU